GACGAACGCUGGCGGCGUGCUUAACACAUGCAAGUCGAACGGAAAGGCCCUGCUUUUGUGGGGUGCUCGAGUGGCGAACGGGUGAGUAACACGUGAGUAACCUGCCCUUGACUUUGGGAUAACUUCAGGAAACUGGGGCUAAUACCGGAUAGGAGCUCCUGCUGCAUGGUGGGGGUUGGAAAGUUUCGGCGGUUGGGGAUGGACUCGCGGCUUAUCAGCUUGUUGGUGGGGUAGUGGCUUACCAAGGCUUUGACGGGUAGCCGGCCUGAGAGGGUGACCGGCCACAUUGGGACUGAGAUACGGCCCAGACUCCUACGGGAGGCAGCAGUGGGGAAUAUUGCACAAUGGGCGGAAGCCUGAUGCAGCAACGCCGCGUGCGGGAUGACGGCCUUCGGGUUGUAAACCGCUUUCGCCCGUGACGAAGCGUAAGUGACGGUAAUGGGUAAAGAAGCACCGGCUAACUACGUG
rnacentral:rRNA from 1 species